GGUGAGAUGGCCGAGUGGUCUAAGGCGCUGUGUUCAGGUUUUGGUUAUAGCCUCGCAGUCUUCGGGCGUGGGUUCGAAUCCCACUCUCAUCA